CAAAAGAAACCAUCCGCAUGUAAAGGAGCACCAUCUGGUGGUUGGUAGGCCGUAGGCGUUUAUGCUAAUUUUCUUCAACCUUUUGCGCUCAGACCUUCUGGUUUUUGAGGUGCUGACAAGUAUUUUUGGCAGUCUUCCUUGCCUUAAGUUGGGCCAAUACGUUACCAGUAACCUUGUAACUGAGAACAACUAUUAAGACAAGAACCUCUCUAACUAGUUCCAAUGAUUAUUGUGUACCGCGAACCAAACCCUCUCCCCUUUUCUUCCCAGCGCCACUCCACAUUGUAUGCUUAUUUGUCGUUUCUGCUGUUUAAUCAGCUUGGUUGCAUGAGGAUUAUCGUACUAUUGGAUCGAAAACUACAGUCAACAGAUCAAUACUCCUUAGAUCUAUCCUCUUUAGGCAAGCCACAACUGUUGUUGCUCUUCACCCUCAGUCUCCGUGUCAACCAAUUUCUUAAGCAAAUGCAUGAGGUUGACUAGAUGGUUUGUAUGCUGGUCACUUCUGAACCCUGGGAAACCUCAUAACGGCUUGGAUGCUGUAACAAGUUAUGGGAAGUGCAUAUGGAUUCUUCGCUGGUUGAGUUGUUCAACUUCUAUGAGCAUCUACGGCUUAAGAAGUAAGAGGUCUAUAUAUGUAUAAAUCUCCUUUUAAUAAAACAGUAUGGAUUCUUCACUGGUUGAGUUGUUCAACUUCUAAGUUCUAAUUUUUCUUUUCAAUUGCUGUAAUUGUAAUUUUCCCCUCUUUCUCUGGAGUGGGUGACUAAAUCACCUAUCCAAUAUUUGCA